rnacentral:rRNA from 1 species
CAAGCCUGAUCCAGCAAUACCGCGUGUGUGAAGAAGGCCCUAGGGUUGUAAAGCACUUUCAAUUGGGAGGAAAACCUGCCGGUCAAUACCCGGUAGCUUGACAUUACCUUUAGAAGAAGCACCGGCUAACUCCGUGCCAGCAGCCGCGGUAAUACGGAGGGUGCAAGCGUUAAUCGGAAUUACUGGGCGUAAAGCGUGCGUAGGCGGUUCGUUAAGUCAGAUGUGAAAGCCCCGGGCUUAACCUGGGAACUGCAUUUGAAACUGGCGGACUAGAGUUGAGUAGAGGGGAGUGGAAUUUCAGGUGUAGCGGUGAAAUGCGUAGAUAUCUGAAGGAACACCAGUGGCGAAGGCGACUCCCUGGACUCAAACUGACGCUGAGGUACGAAAGCGUGGGUAGCAAACAGGAUUAGAUACCCUGGUAGUCCACGCUGUAAACGAUGUCAACUAGCCGUUGGUUCUAUUUACAGAAUUAGUGGCGCAGCUAACGCAUUAAGUUGACCGCCUGG